rnacentral:lncRNA from 1 species
CUCCAGGGCAUUUGUUGGGCUUGGAAACAGGCGAACGAGGGUCUGACAUCUCCAAUGAGAGAUGGGCCAACACUGGUCUCUCUUCUCCUUUAGGAAGCCCUCUGUGGUCAACUGACUCCUGAGUAUGGCAGCAGGAGAAGACUGUACAUUUACUGGAAUCACUGAUGCGCUAAAUAUUACUCAGAGGAUUUGACAGCUCUUUGAGAUAAGAGAAGUACUUCCUUCUACUCCUAUAAAGCAAGUGAUGGCAGAAAGAGUUUGCCUGUCUUUGGCCUUGAGACUACUUGCAGAGAGGAGGAAGACCUUGACCUUGCUGGUCAGCAGCUUUCCCACCAGCCUGUAUUGCUUUGUGGGAGGAGAUAGUGAAUCCAGG